AUUGAACGCUGGCGGAAUGCUUUACACAUGCAAGUCGAGCGGCAGCACGGGGGCAACCCUGGUGGCGAGCGGCGAACGGGUGAGUAAUACAUCGGAACAUGCCCAGUCGUGGGGGAUAACACUUCGAAAGAAGUGCUAAUACCGCAUACGUCCUGAGGGGGAAAGCGGGGGAUCGCAAGACCUCGCGCGAUUGGAGUGGCCGAUGUCAGAUUAGCUAGUUGGUGGGGUAAAGGCCUACCAAGGCAACGAUCCGUAGCUGGUCUGAGAGGAUGAUCAGCCACACUGGGACUGAGACACGGCCCAGACUCCUACGGGAGGCAGCAGUGGGGAAUUUUGGACAAUGGGGGCAACCCUGAUCCAGCCAUUCCGCGUGAGUGAAGAAGGCCUUCGGGUUGUAAAGCUCUUUCGGCAGGAACGAAACGGUGAGCUCUAACAUAGCUUGCUAAUGACGGUACCUGAAGAAGAAGCACCGGCUAACUACGUG
rnacentral:rRNA from 1 species